rnacentral:rRNA from 1 species
AUUGAACGCUGGCGGCAGGCUUAACACAUGCAAGUAGAGCGGAGAUGAGGUGCUUGCACCUUAUCUUAGCGGCGGACGGGUGAGUAAUGCUUAGGAAUCUGCCAUUUAGUGGGGGACAACAUUCCGAAAGGAAUGCUAAUACCGCAUACGUCCUACGGGAGAAAGCAGGGGAUCUUCGGACCUUGCGCUAAAUGAUGAGCCUAAGUCGGAUUAGCUAGUUGGUGGGGUAAAGGCCUACCAAGGCGACGAUCUGUAGCGGGUCUGAGAGGAUGAUCCGCCACACUGGGACUGAGACACGGCCCAGACUCCUACGGGAGGCAGCAGUGGGGAAUAUUGGACAAUGGGCGGAAGCCUGAUCCAGCCAUGCCGCGUGUGUGAAGAAGGCCUUUUGGUUGUAAAGCACUUUAAGCGAGGAGGAGGCUGCUAGUACUAAUACUACUGGAUAGUGGACGUUACUCGCAGAAUAAGCACCGGCUAACUCUGUGCCAGCAGCCGCCGUAAAAC